GACGAACGCUGGCGGCGUGCCUAAUACAUGCAAGUCGAACAAAGCUGUUUUAACUGGUGCUUGCACCGACUUAAACACUGAGUGGCGAACGGGUGAGUAACACGUGGGUAACCUGCCCCAAAGCGGGGGAUAACAUUUGGAAACAGAUGCUAAUACCGCAUAACCACAGAAACCACAUGGUUUCUGUGUCAAAGAUGGUUUCGGCUAUCACUUUGGGAUGGACCCGCGGCGUAUUAGCUAGUUGGUAAGGUAAUGGCUUACCAAGGCAAUGAUACGUAGCCGAACUGAGAGGUUGAUCGGCCACAUUGGGACUGAGACACGGCCCAAACUCCUACGGGAGGCAGCAGUAGGGAAUCUUCCACAAUGGACGAAAGUCUGAUGGAGCAACGCCGCGUGAGUGAAGAAGGUUUUCGGAUCGUAAAACUCUGUUGUCAGAGAAGAACGUGUGCGAGAGUAACUGUUCGUGCAGUGACGGUAUCUGGCCAGAAAGCCACGGCUAACUACGUGCCAGCCGCCGCCGUAA
rnacentral:rRNA from 1 species